UUAUAUUCAGUAAGCUGACUGUGUGCGGUCUUUCAUCUCUUUGUCUUGGUUAGUCUGUGGCUCUUCUUGUCAUGUUCUUCUAUGCCAAUCCAAGUUUCACAUUGUGUGCAGGUGAAUAAAGGUGUCAGGACCAUACUGAGUGAAAA